GAUUAACGCUGGCGGCGUGCAUAACACAUGCAAGUCGAACGAUGAAACUUAACUGAUUUCUUCGGAAUGAUUUUAAGUGGAUUAGUGGCGGACGGGUGAGUAACGCGUGAGUAACCUGCCUUGGAGAAGGGGAUAGCCUUUGGAAACGAAGAAUAAUACCCUAUGAUAUGAUAAUAUCUCAUGAUAUUAUCAUCAAAGAUUUAUCGCUCUAAGAUGGACUUGCGUCUGAUUAGCUAGUUGGUGAGGUAACAGCUCACCAAGGCAGCGAUCAGUAGCCGGCUUGAGAGAGUGUACAGCCACAUUGGGACUGAGACACGGCCCAGACUCCUACGGGAGGCAGCAGUGGGGAAUUUUGCACAAUGGGGGAAACACUGAUGCAGCGACGCCGCGUGAUUUAGAAGGACUUCGGGUUGUAAAAAUCUUUUGUAUGGGAAGAAAAUGACAGUACCAUACGAAUAAGGACCGGCUAAUUACGUG
rnacentral:rRNA from 1 species